AGAGUUUGAUCAUGGCUCAGAUUGAACGCUGGCGGCAGGCCUAACACAUGCAAGUCGAACGGUAACAGGAAGCAGCUUGCUGCUUCGCUGACGAGUGGCGGACGGGUGAGUAAUGUCUGGGAAACUGCCUGAUGGAGGGGGAUAACUACUGGAAACGGUGGCUAAUACCGCAUAACGUCGCAAGACCAAAGAGGGGGACCUUCGGGCCUCUUGCCAUCAGAUGUGCCCAGAUGGGAUUAGCUAGUUGGUGAGGUAACGGCUCACCAAGGCGACGAUCCCUAGCUGGUCUGAGAGGAUGACCAGCCACACUGGAACUGAGACACGGUCCAGACUCCUACGGGAGGCAGCAGUGGGGAAUAUUGCACAAUGGGCGCAAGCCUGAUGCAGCCAUGCCGCGUGUAUGAAGAAGGCCUUCGGGUUGUAAAGUACUUUCAGCGGGGAGG
rnacentral:rRNA from 1 species